rnacentral:rRNA from 1 species
UUCGAAAGGAACGCUAAUACCGCAUACGUCCUACGGGAGAAAGCAGGGGACCUUCGGGCCUUGCGCUAUCAGAUGAGCCUAGGUCGGAUUAGCUAGUUGGUGAGGUAAUGGCUCACCAAGGCGACGAUCCGUAACUGGUCUGAGAGGAUGAUCAGUCACACUGGAACUGAGACACGGUCCAGACUCCUACGGGAGGCAGCAGUGGGGAAUAUUGGACAAUGGGCGAAAGCCUGAUCCAGCCAUGCCGCGUGUGUGAAGAAGGUCUUCGGAUUGUAAAGCACUUUAAGUUGGGAGGAAGGGUUGUUUCCUAAUACGAAGCAAUUUUGACGUUACCGACAGAAUAAGCACCGGCUAACUCUGUGCCAGCAGCCGCGGUAAUACAGAGGGUGCAAGCGUUAAUCGGAAUUACUGGGCGUAAAGCGCGCGUAGGUGGUUUGUUAAGUUGAAUGUGAAAUCCCCGGGCUCAACCUGGGAACUGCAUCCAAAACUGGCAAGCUAGAGUAGGGCAGAGGGUGGUGGAAUUUCCUGUGUAGCGGUGAAAUGCGUAGAUAUAGGAAGGAACACCAGUGGCGAA